rnacentral:rRNA from 1 species
UACGUAGGCAGCGAGCGUUGUUCGGAAUUACUGGGCGUAAAGAGUGUGUAGGCGGUGCUCUAAGUUCGGUGUGAAAUCUCCUGGCUUAACUGGGAGGGUGCGCCGGAAACUGGAGUGCUCGAACGUGGGAGAGGAAAGCGGAAUACCUGGUGUAGAGGUGAAAUUCGUAGAUAUCAGGUGGAACACCAGUGGCGAAGGCGGCUUUCUGGACGGUAACUGACGCUGAGACGCGAAAGCGUGGGGAGCAAACAGG